AAGUAAGAAACAAAUUUUGUAAUUAGUUUCGACCUAAUCUUUGGCCCACGCCCUUAUUUU
rnacentral:tRNA from 1 species